UACAGAGGGGGCAAGCGUUAAUCGGAAUUACUGGGCGUAAAGCGUGCGCAGACGGUUGCGUAAGUCAGAUGUGAAAGCCCCGGGCUCAACCUGGGAAUUGCAUUUGAGACUGCGUAGCUAGGGUGCGGAAGAGGGAAGCGGAAUUUCCGGUGUAGCGGUGAAAUGCGUAGAUAUCGGAAGGAACACCAGUGGCGAAAGCGGCUUCCUGGUCCAGCACCGACGUUCAGGCACGAAAACGUGGGGAGCAAACAGG
rnacentral:rRNA from 1 species